rnacentral:rRNA from 1 species
GUGCCAGCCGCCGCGGUAAUACGGAGAGGGGCAAGCGUUAUCCGGAAUUAUUGGGCGUAAAGAGGUGCGUAGGCGGUUUCUUAAGCGCGGGGUGAAAGGCAGUGGCUUAACGAUUGUUAGCCUUGCGAACUGGGAAACUUGAGUGCUGGAGAGGAAAGCGGAAUUCCUAGUGUAGCGGUGAAAUGCGUAUAUAUAUAAGAGGAACACCAGUGGCGAAGGCGGCUUUCUGGACAGUAACUGACGCUGAGGCACGAAAGUGUGGGGAGCAAACAGGAUUAUAUACCCUGGUAUGUCCACACCGUAAACGAUGAGCACUCUAGGUGUCGGGUCCGCAAGGAUUCGGUGCCGCAGUUAACGCAUUAAGUGCUCCGCCUGGGGAGUACGUACGCAAGUGAUGAAACUCAAAGGAAUUGACGGGGACCCGCACAAGCAGCGGAGCAUUGUGGUUUAAUUCGAAGCAACGCGAGAACCUUACCAGGACUUGACAUCCUCUUGAAAGGCUGGGUAACGCCGGCCCCUCUUCGGACAAGAGAGACAGGUGGUGCAUGGUUGUCGUCAGCUCGUGUCGUGAGAUGUUGGGUUAAGUCCCGCAACGAGCGCAACCCUUGUUACUAGUUGCCAUCAUUCAGUUGGGCACUCUAGUGAGACUGCCGGGGAUAACUCGGAGGAAGGUGGGGAUGACGUCAAAUCAUCAUGCCCCUUAUGUUCUGGGCUACACACGUGUCUACAAUGGUUGGUACAAAGAGCAGCAAGCCCGCGAGGGGGAGCAAAUCUCAAAAGCCAAUCCCAGUUCGGAUUGUAGGCUGCAACUCGCCUACAUGAAGUCGGAGUUGUUAUUAAUCGUGAAUCAGAAUGCCACGGUGAAUGCGUUCCCGGGUCUUGUACACACCGCCCGU